GGCGGACGGGUGAGUAACGCGUGAGAAUCUGGCCUUAGGUUCGGGACAACCACUGGAAACGGUGGCUAAUACCGAAUAUGCUGAGAAGUGAAAGAUUAAUUGCCUGAGGAUGAGCUCGCGUCUGAUUAGCUAGUUGGUAGGGUAAGAGCCUACCAAGGCGACGAUCAGUAACUGGUCUGAGAGGAUGAUCAGUCACACUGGGACUGAGACACGGCCCAGACUCCUACGGGAGGCAGCAGUGGGGAAUUUUCCGCAAUGGGCGCAAGCCUGACGGAGCAAUACCGCGUGGGGGAGGAAGGUUCUUGGAUUGUAAACCCCUUUUCUCAGGGAAGAAGUUCUGACGGUACCUGAGGAAUCAGCAUCGGCUAACUCCGUGCCAGCAGCCGCGGUAAUACGGAGGAUGCAAGCGUUAUCCGGAAUGAUUGGGCGUAAAGCGUCCGCAGGUGGCAGUUCAAGUCUGCUGUCAAAGACUGGGGCUCAACCCUGGAAAGGCAGUGGAAACUGAGCAGCUAGAGUAUGGUGGGGGUAGAGGGAAUUCCCAGUGUAGCGGUGAAAUGCGUAGAGAUUGGGAAGAACACCGGUGGCGAAAGCGCUCUGCUAGACCAUAACUGACACUCAGGGACGAAAGCUAGGGGAGCGAAUGGGAUUAG
rnacentral:rRNA from 1 species